UACGUAGGGUGCAAGCGUUGUCCGGAAUUAUUGGGCGUAAAGAGCUCGUAGGCGGUCUGUCGCGUCUGCUGUGAAAACUCGGGGCUUAACCCCGGGCCUGCAGUGGGUACGGGCAGACUAGAGUGCGGUAGGGGAGACUGGAAUUCCUGGUGUAGCGGUGAAAUGCGCAGAUAUCAGGAGGAACACCGGUGGCGAAGGCGGGUCUCUGGGCAUUAACUGACGCUGAGGAGCGAAAGCAUGGGGAGCGAACAGG
rnacentral:rRNA from 1 species